GACGUAGGGCGCGAGCGUGGUCCGGAUUUAUUGGGCGUAAAGAGCUCGUAGGCGGCUUGUCGCGUCGAAUGUGAAAACUCGGGGCUCAACUCCGAGCUUGCAUUCGAUACGGGCAGGCUAGAGUUCGGUAGGUGAGACUGGAAUUCCUGGUGUAGCGGUGAAAUGCGCAGAUAUCAGGAGGGACACCGAUGGCGAAGGCAGGUCUCUGGGCCGAUACUGACGCUGAGGAGCGAAAGCGUGGGGAGCGAACAGG
rnacentral:rRNA from 1 species